rnacentral:rRNA from 1 species
AUACGGAGGGUGCGAGCGUUAAUCGGAAUUACUGGGCGUAAAGCGUACGUAGGCGGUUUGCUAAGUCAGAUGUGAAAGCCCCGGGCUUAACCUGGGAACUGCAUUUGAUACUGGCAGACUAGAGUAUGAUAGAGGGGGGUAGAAUUCCUGGUGUAGCGGCGAAAUGCGUAGAUAUCAGGAGGAAUACCAGUGGCGAAGGCGGCCCCCUGGAUCAAUACUGACGCUGAGGUACGAAAGCGUGGGGAGCGAACAGGAUUAGAAACCCGAGUAGUCC